UCGUUAAUAAUUUGUGACUUUUUCAAUUAAUGUUUCAUGGAAUAAAAGCAACCACGUACCAAGCACGAAUUCUUGGAACUAAAUAUUGGCUUUUGUUAAUUUUUUUUUUCGGAAAAUCGACGCGUAUUUUUAAAAACGAAUUGAACAAAUGUUCACGACCAAAGUGGUGAAGUUGUUUAAUUACUUGUCAAGAACCAAAAUGAUGCAUCACUCAUGAUAUACAUAAAUUUCACGGCGAACGAAUCAUCAAAUUUGACCCAAAAACAAAAUUCAUUAUCACCAGGAAAAUAUUGCCUGGUCUGAUUCGAUCCUCUAAAUAAUUUUGAUCCUACUAAUACACGAUAGCCUUCGAUAGAAAAUCGCCACGAACAUAAUUCGAUUUCGCAUAUCGUAUCCCUGGUGACGUAUCUAAACCGAAUGUUUAGUUUACCGCGCUUUUGUUUACCAUGUUGUUAUAUUUUUCAGAGUAAUGCUGCUCGAAUAAAUGGCAACGUAGUAAAUAAGAUAAAGGCUGAAUUAAAAUUUAAAAAUCUUCACUCCAUUAGUUUCGCUGUAAUUUUGCUCGCAAUAUUAUAAUAUUAGCUAUAAUUAAUCGAACUAAAUCACGAAUCGUAUUCGUACUCUUAGAAAUAUUAAUUAUCUUCGAUCGAGUGUCAUAAACAGAAUUCCUUGAACGCGAUUCACAUUCAAAUGACAUGACGCGGUACGAUGACGAGACACAGCGGAACUUUCCUAUCGACCGUGAAGAACAUACGUGGCAACAGAGAGAGAGACUUUUUUUUCUCUCAUGUAUCUCCAUUCAUCUCGAGAUGAUUUUAUUUUCGGUCGAUCAAAACGAAACGGACAUAUGCACGUGCGAAAUAACUCUAAUGCCAACAGAGUUCGUGGAACAUAGGUGUUUCCAUGCGACACACGUCCACUGGCAAAAGCGACGCUCCCAACACGAGAUAUAUGGGUUCCGCGAGGAAAAUAUGCGGCCAUUCAUCCGACGAGAAUGACAAUGAACGAAUGAAAUCACGUCCACGUGUUUCUACCCGGCUAAUCGACUUCGUUUACCUUCGUAGCUCAUGGAGAAAAAUCUCGAGAUAACGUGCUUUCGUAUGCUAUCUGAACAAUUACGUAAGGCUUCCAAUCGUGUUCGAGAAAUAUUUUUCUGUUCCGUAGAACGAUUUAUUUUGCGAUUGUAUAUGCGGAGAAACGACAAUUUGAAAUAUACGUGGAUCGAUUAGCACGUCAAAUUCGCGGACAGAAAACAAAUGUUUCUUUGGCAAAAAAGAAAUAUAUAUUGAAAAUAUGCAGAUGAUAUCUAUAAUAGUAAGUAAAUGACCUGACGUCAUGCCUAGGCCUUGAAACGAGCGAACUCUUGUAAGGGUCUCGACUCGGAGUGGGGACAAGGCGAUAAUACUUUCGAGCGAGACGAAGCAUUGAAGCGACGAUAUUCGAUCUGAAAUCUCUUUCUCUAAAUAGAUUCUUUAGAAAUUUGUGUUAUACCUGGCUCAUCUUCGAGAAUCUUCUCUUCGCGAAUACAAUAAAUAAAACCGCGUUCGACUUCGAAGGUGAUUCCUCCUGUUUCGACGAUCGAAAAGAGCUUGUUCCCGAGCUCGCUAUCUCGCGUGAUUCACGAUCGUCGACGGGCUAUUUUCCACGCGAAGGCCGUUUCACAUGCGUUCGAAUCUCGCUUUUGGAACGCUCGAUGAACACUAUAUUCCCAUAUGGAAUGGAUUUAACGACAAAUAACGCAUAUAACAUAAUACGGAGGGGAGAAUCUCUUGUAUAACGCCUCUGUUUAUUUUACUUCGUUCGAUCGAAUCUCCCUUUCCUGUACAAAUUUCAUUUUAUGUGCGAUACGGGCGCAUCGUACACGAAUCCCAGGUAGGUAAAGGAUCGCGAAUGUUUACACGUUCGCAGCUCUAAACGCGAUUGGAACGAGGCUUUCCACGAUCCUGAACGGUUCGUUUUAGCUGACGCUAUUCGGAAAACAUCCACUGCAUUUUGUAUCGUGUGCCUCUACGUGCUCGCGAGUCGAAUCGAUGAUACUUUUGUCUCGAAAGUCGAUACCUGGUUUCUAUAUGCUGAUUAUACGCUCUUGAAAUUGCACAACACUGCUCGUUGCCAAAACAUCACGAUCUUUCAACUUUAUUCUUUUAUUUACUUAUUUUUUUCUAUUUUUUCGACGAUAUUAUCGUUAUUAAUAAAGAACAUAGUCCAAUGUAAACAGAAAUACACUCUUCCCACCUUGAAUUCAAUCUCGUUGAGAUAUUUCUUUUCGUUUUUCGUCUUUGCUCGAACGAUCAUCAGUUUAUUCGUGGAUCAGUGACACUAACGACUUAAUUGAAAAAAUAAAAUAACGACCGAAAAUAAAAUACCGUACGAAUCAAACUGCGCGAAAUUCAAACAAAAAAAUGUAAAUAAGUAUCCGUUACAAACGGAUUUAGAAAAAUCGAUAUUUCAUCGCAAAGAAUAAUAUUACGUGCAUUUUAAAAACAUAAUAAUUCUAAAAAUCAUAACAUCUAAUGUUACACGCCUCGACUAGGUUAAACACGGAUCCAACGGUCACGCACACAGGCGCAAGAUUAAGUACGGGACAGGAUCCAACACAGAACAAUUUUACCUGGUCGUGUUCUAUGCUGACUGGACUAACUAACUAACUGGUUCCGAACACUGGCCAAAAUUUAAAUUCCAUGAAAACAGCUAACACGCGAGUGAAAACGUAAACACGAGGUCUCGUAUACGUCGUUGGGAGAAUGGUAACAAGCCAACGAUGAUACUGUAUGCUUGAAUAUAUCAUUCUUGGAAAAAAAAAAAAGAAAAUCCAUUACGAAAUCAAAAGUUUUGCCAAUAGAGAUUUUGCAAGAGACAGUAUUUGUCCUGUAAAAAUUUAGUUCGUGAAGAUUUUUAAUGCGACAGAGUUCUUUCGUAUGCAUUCGUGAGUCUUGAGAGUGUGUAGAGGGAAGCAGACGUCCUCGACGCGACGAGUACGUUUCUGGAAGCUACCAGAGAGAUCGCCUAAUUCUGUCACCGAUGCUGAACGUUACACGGCAGCUCUGCUAGUAAAUAUGCCGAAUGUACUAUAUCUGAGUAAACGACAUGCAGACACGAUAACGCGGUAUCCCAAGGAAACGAGCAUCGAGUAACGUGUAUUUCGUUUUUAAACGAAAAAUCUCGAUUUAACGACGAAAAAAAUAAACGAGAAAAUGUUGUACGAAAUAAUACGAAAAAUAUCAACGUUCAAUCGAAUGAAGUUUCAAUUUCUCUUUAAAAGAUGGAAUAAAAGAGAAGCCCAAUACCAAUGAAAGUCGCGUAAAUUCGUUACCAGGAAAAAUACAUCGAUAGCUAUUUCGAAACAAAGAGAAGCAUCACGUCCUGCGGAGUAACAUACAGGAAGUACGCGGAAGAACGUUGGCAUGUCGUGCAUGUCCUCGUUCAUGGAAAUCGCGAUUUCGCUUCUAGCAGUCCCAUCGAUUUACCUUUUAUCCUCGUACAACGCGAGUCAGCGUGUUUUAUCGACUAUGGCCACGACGACGUUUCGACGAUCGACACACUGUCCGUGUUACCUAACGACGAAACGAUCUCACCCGUUUCGAUUUGCGAAACGUGUUUGUAAACGAACAAGAGUGACACCACGGUGAACAGACGAAGCUUAUAGGAACGACGUUCGACACGUUGCGGACAGAAGGCCGUUUUACACUGACCCCCUGCCACUGGAACUUCUACGUAUAACCAUCGUCUACGUCCUGCCACGGUUGCCAUGUUGCGUGCUUGCCUGUGUGUGCGUUGCCUAUAGUCUGCUCACCGCCGGUGUGCAUGCCAUCGUAAGUGUCAGGUUCUCCCACGGAACUGUAUACACUGAAACGCUUACGUAGUUACGACAAAGAACUUUGAAUUCUCUUCUUUGUACGCGUGCCUCCAUAUUCGAAGUUCCUUCGAGUCGAGAAGAAACCGUUGUCCUAUGACGAUCGAGAAAGAUCGAGAAAGAAGAAAAAAAUUCGAACGGUUUAAUAACGGAAGUUUAAUAAUGGAAAAUUUUUCAAUAGAAUCGUUAAUUCAACCGGAACAAUGUAUGAAAAUAGAUCGAUAUAGGAGUGGGGAUUCUCGUAUCGUGAUUCUGAUCAACACUGCUAUUUUACGAUUUAUCGUUUGAGAAAUGACAAUGCUUUUGACUCGUUAUGUAAGCAGCUGAUAAGUAGACAAUUUUGAGGUAGGUGAAGAAGAAAGAUUUGAAUGAAGAUAAUCUAAUCUUUGCAGAAAAGGUAUAUAAUUAAUAGAUUAUUAGAGGAAAAUGUAAGCCAUAUUGUGAGAUUAAAGAAGAUUGGAAAUCGGCCAAUCGGAAAUUAGAAUUGGCGAUAAAAUUUCCACGAGGUUACGCGUAAUUACGUAAUUCGUUUUUCACUUAUUCACUAAUAAAUAACCAUGUUUAUUCUACGAGUUCACGUUCACGGUUGAUCGAACAAUCUUCCACGGGCUGAAACCGAUGAAUGGGAAUGUGAAACAGUGCUAUACGAGCUUAUCGCGAAAAAUAUAUAUGUAUAUAUACAUGUAUAUAUAUAUAUUCGAAAACACGCUACAACGGUUCUCAAUUAAUCGAAAAAUAGAAUUCCAUCAAAAAAUCACGCGUGGCGCGAUAAGAGGCGAGUCGAAUUCGAUUAUUUGCGAUCUCCAUUCGCGAUUUAGAUAAUAUUAUUGACGUCAUCAAAUUGCAUCUCUUCUCCAAAAAUAUUAUUAUUAUUAAUAUUUGCUUCUAUAUCCUUGCAUUAACAUACACCAGUCCUGAUUUGAUUAACAUUAUCGCUAUUCUCGGUUCGUAAUACGCAAUCGUUUUUUCAAGAUCAUCACGAGCAAUAUGUUUUCGAAGAUCGAUCGUUUUUCGAGAGAAGCGAGCAGUUGCUCGUUCGAAACUUGCGAAACGAAUCGAGCACGAGACGAGCAAAUCCGUUCAAUCCGCAAUAAUUCUCUUUGCGAAUCGAUUUACGACGUUAUGACAAACGACGGGAAACACGAGAAGAUCGAAGAUCUCGCAUUAUCUUUAAUCGCCUCGAAUCAUACUUACGUAAAAUUCCCUUAUAGUCCCAGACGACUGGGUUACGUAACGAUCACUAAUUUGUUUCUCGAUCUCGGCUACGAGUUUAACGCGACGAAGAAAUCGUGUCACGACAUAUUUCGAAAUUCCUCACAAUAUAAUAUAACGAUCGCAUCGUGUUCGCUCGUGUAACGUCACUUGGCCGAAUCGAUAGGCCGUGAAUCAUCGAGGGUUGGACGAAAAACCGACCGAUUUUACCUUGGUAUCGCGCAACGCGUUAAUACUAAUGGCUCGUAAUUAAAUUUCAAAGGCAGUGUAUUUGGUGGAUACGACGUGAAAUUAUCACUGUCGCGCACAGUAGAUACGCGUUUAGAUACGCGUGGAAGGGGGAAAAAAAUAUAGAAGAGAAGAAAAAAA